UACGGGGGGGGCAAGCGUUGUUCGGAAUUACUGGGCGUAAAGGGCUCGUAGGCGGCCAACUAAGUCGGAUGUGAAAUCCCCAGGCUCAACUUGGGAACUGCAUCCGAUACUGGAUGGCUUGAAUCCGGGAGAGGGAUGCAGAAUUCCAGGUGUAGCGGUGAAAUGCGUAGAUAUCUGGAGGAACACCGGUGGCGAAGGCGGCAUCCUGGACCAACACUGACACUGAGGAGCGAAAGCCAGGGGAGCAAACGGG
rnacentral:rRNA from 1 species